ACAUUCACGCCUAACCCACAUCAGACUUCACCAUUUUCAACAUUCUCUCUCUAUCUCUCUGUCGCCCAUCUCUCUAUCUAUUACCAUGGCGUGAGUCUUGCUUUCCUAACAUCAAAACAUCACAAAUCUUUGCUUCUUCAGCGAUUCAUUUGCUCCAUCGCUAAAAAGGCACUCCUCAGAUCCAUCUGCGAUUUCUUCCGCCAGCUUCCAUUUCAGUGAUUCAUUCUCCAUUUCUUCCGCCAGCUUCCAUUUCAACGAUUCAUUCUCCAUUUCUUCCACCAGCUGCUGUACUACCGCGACGAAUUCGGCGACCGCGCUUACAUCUCCGGUCGAUCCGCAACGCUUACAUCGCUAUCCAGGCCUGGAAGCAGGCCAUCUCAGAUCCGGUGGCAGAAAUCCAGAUCCGGUGGCGGAGUGCUCAGAUCUGGUGGCAGAGAGCUCACGGAGGAUGGUCGCCGGCUUCUCUUCCAUUUCCGAUGCACAGAGCUCAGGAUGGGUUGAAGAUACUGAAAAGAGGAGAUACUAUAAUGGCUAUGGAUCCAAGAUUACAAAGAAGUCCAGCUUCCGUUGAGGCGGCGGCACAUCUAUGUGUUGCGUCUUCAAGAUCGUUGCCAUAGCCUCAACCUUCGGAGGAUAGCCUUGGCAAUUGGCAUGGAUGCUUCAAAAGGAUCGGAGACUUCUAGUGUACAUUGUCUGGGUGGAAUUCUUGCUGAUGAUGAUCAGGGCCUGGCCUUGGGAAGACUGUGUCAAUCAUUGCGUUAAAACAGUUGCAGAGGAGAAAGCUAAAUCUAAAAAUAUGGGAGUUAUGAAGGCUCAAGCCUUGAAUUUGGAUGACGAUGAUGAAAAUACUGGUGACUUUUAGGUGAUUCCAGAAGCAAGUACUAUAAAGGAUUUCGUAGAAAGAGGCCAGCUAGCUGCAGGCACAUUGGUUAUAUGUCCAGCUAGUGUUCUUCGACAAUGGGCUCAGGAACUGGAUGAGAAAGUUACAAAUGAAGCAAGACUUAGUGUGCUGAGUUAUUCAGUUACUUCAGAAUUCUAAGAUACGAUCCCUAUGCUGACUUCAAAACAUUUUGUAGUGGUGUCAAGUACCCAAUAGCUAUGAACUCGAUACAAGGUUACAAGAAGCUUCAAGCAAUCUUGAGGGCCAUUAUGUUGCGCCGAACAAAAGCCAAUUAUAAACUUACCACCAAAAACUAUACAUUUGAAAAAGGUGGCUUUCUCUGCUGAGGAGCGUGAUUUCUAUAACAGGCUAGAAGCUGCAUCUCGCUCACAAUUUAAGGGUGCAUUGGAUAGAUGUGACGUUGUGACGCCGUGUAUAACCCAGAACAGGAUUACAGGGUCUACGGCGCCCCUGCGUAUAACGGACCGGGGAUCUCAACAAGUCCUCUACACCUCAAGGAGGAACAAGGAUCCAUGCUGUCCCGAGAAGCGCUGCGAGACGUGCCGGAACCUGGCGGGCCAUGAUUUAGGUGACAUAGGCGACACCAGGCGUAACAACCAGUGGCACAUGCCCCGGACCUUGGGCUAAACGAGGUGAACCCACAGCACCGGGACGAACCAAGCGACCCCAGGAGCCAUCUAAUCGUAACAGGUGAACCCACAGCACCGGGAGUCCGGGACGAACCAAGCGACCCCAGGAGCCAUCCAAUCGUAACGAGCUUCUGCGAGGCGUCUGAUGUAGUCUCAAAAAAAAA